rnacentral:rRNA from 1 species
UACGUAGGGGGCAAGCGUGGUCCGGAAUUAUUGGGCGUAAAGCGCGCGCAGGCGGUCGAUUAAGUUUGGUGUUUAAGCCCGAGGCUCAACCUCGGUUCGCAUCGAAAACUGGUUGACUUGAGUGUAGGAGAGGAAAGUGGAAUUCCACGUGUAGCGGUGAAAUGCGUAGAGAUGUGGAGGAACACCAGUGGCGAAGGCGACUUUCUGGCCUAUAACUGACGCUGAGGCGCGAAAGCGUGGGGAGCAAACAGG